rnacentral:misc_RNA from 1 species
GUUUUGGCAUAAAUCUCAGUCACCCAAGAAGCUAAGCAAGCUACUUGAUAUCUACUACAACUCUGUUGGACGAAAUUGUGUACUAUUGCUCAAUGUGCCACCUAAUUCAACUGGUCUAAUAUCUGAGUCUGAUGUUCAAAGAUUGAAGGAAUUUAGAAGCGCAAUUGACACAAUUUUUGGUACUAAUUUGGCGGAGAAAUGCUUUAUAAAAG